AGCCCGACGUGGGAUUCGAUCCCGGGUCUCCAGGAUCAGGCCCCGGGCCAAAGAAGCAUGAUGCUAUCAGGCCCAAGAAUUGGCCAGGGAGGAGCUCACUACAGACAGGACCACUCAGAAAGACGCCUCUAAACACUCCCUGAACACCCACCCUGUGCUUGGCUCUCUGCAGUUCCUGGAUUACCAAGGGAGGGAGCCACACCCUGCACCCAGAGGACCACACAUUCUGUGUGGGAUACAGCUAAGUGGGCAACAAUUUGCUCAGCAUAUCUCUUCCUAAAUUCCAAGACAGGCUGCUUGCUCUGUUCAGUCAAGACUGCCAACCCAAGAAACAUUUUUGAAAGAUCACAGUCAACGUCAUUGCCAAAAGAAGAAGUUCUUGGCACACAAAGGACCUGGUUCAAUAUGAGAUGCCAGAUGGUGAUUUCAACUUCAGCUAAAUUCCUGCUGAAAAAAGUGUUUGAACUGCAGAUGAGAAAAGCUUCUAUGACAAAUUUCCAAGUGUUAGAAGCUUCAGAGGGAAAUGGCAAGUGUUGAUACACGUACCCCCCCCCAACACAUGCACACAUAUCAUAGAACUACUACCUGCAUCUGGUAAUUAAGAUUCCCACAAAGAUGCCUCUGCUUUUUAAGAAGACUAAGAUCUAAUUUGAUUUUUACUAAUAUUAAAGUGCAUUAACUGA